rnacentral:rRNA from 1 species
CUACGUGCCAGCAGCCGCGGUAAUACGUAGGGGGCUAGCGUUAUCCGGAUUUACUGGGCGUAAAGGGUGCGUAGGUGGUCCUUCAAGUCGGUGGUUAAAGGCUACGGCUCAACCGUAGUAAGCCGCCGAAACUGGAGGACUUGAGUGCAGGAGAGGAAAGUGGAAUUCCCAGUGUAGCGGUGAAAUGCGUAGAUAUUGGGAGGAACACCAGUAGCGAAGGCGGCUUUCUGGACUGCAACUGACACUGAGGCACGAAAGCGUGGGUAGCAAACAGGAUUAGAUACCCUGGUAGUCCACGCUGUAAACGAUGAGUACUAGGUGUCGGGGGUUACCCCCCUCGGUGCCGCAGCUAACGCAUUAAGUACUCCGCCUGGGGAGUACGCACGCAAGUGUGAAACUCAAAGGAAUUGACGGGGACCCGCACAAGUAGCGGAGCAUGUGGUUUAAUUCGAAGCAACGCGAAGAACCUUACCUAAGCUUGACAUCCC